UCACAAUGGCCCAAGACAGGUCUUUGGGCUCAGUAAAUCUGACCUGCUUGCCAUGACUUGAGGUUGGUCAGCUAGCCCAGAGGCCAGAUCCUGACUCCUGGUCCAGUGCCCUCUCUGCUGCCCCCACCUCCCAAGUCUGUCCUGAGGCAGCAGGUGCUGAUGGACCCCAAGUGUCCACUGUACCUCCACAGUCAGGGUCUUGGCCUCACAUUUUUGUCCCCUGGGAGCUCUGCCCAGAGAGGGCAGGAAACCCAGGUCACUGGUGGAUCUGUUCAUGUGGGUUUUAGGAUCAAUGGAAUCCUGUCUCAUUUCACGUGUGAACAGAACCCCCCUUGGCCCUGGAGGGACAUUUGUAGAACUGGGGCAAUAUUCACAGAUGGACCAGGGAAUGAUUUUAAUGCACAUACUGAAAUCUCAUUUAGAGGAAGGUAAGGUAUGAGGGGCACCAGAGGGGAUUCCCCCUGCGAAUUUAGGGGAAUUUCCAAGGUGGCAGUGAGAGUGGGGGGAGGACAGAAGGGAGUGUGUACAUUCAUUCCUUCAUUCAGUUUUUCAUCUCUUCGCUCAGCACACACACCCUGAGCAAGCUGUGUUCUAUUCUGUGCCAGGCUGUGUUCAAGGCAUGAGAGGAACAGCAGGGAAGAAAACAGACAAAAUGCUCACCCUCACAGUGCCCUUAUUCUAUUGCUGAUAGCGGUGCGGUGGGGUAGGGUGAGCAAAUACAAUGAAUACACAGUAAAUUAGGUGAUGGUGACAGUGACUUAACAAAUCAGGGAAGGAAGGAGGGGAGGGCUGGUGGAGUUGAAUCUGUCUGCAUACGGACCUUCAUUCUAGUUCCAGGUGGAGCUAGAAUCAGGUUGUUUUUGUUUUUGUUUUUCUAAACAAGCAGGUCAUUAUUCAGAAAACCCAGAUUCACCCUAUAUGGGUUAAAUGCAGGUAAGUCCAACACCUGGCAGGGGACUCUCAGAGCCAAGGAGGGACUUAAGGGUGAAAUUAUUCUCUGCUCCAUACAGGGCCAGUUCACGCAGAGCCGGGGACCCCAGGCUCACCCUUGACUGGUGGGUUGGGAACAGCACUGACCCGGGUGGUCAAGACCAGUAUGGAUGUGUGUUCUGCUGCCACAGGCUGCCCUUAAGAGACAGAGGGUGGGCGCUGUGGUUAUUUCCGUUUUGCUGGUGAAGACAGCGAAGCUUGGAGAGGUGAAGAAGCUAGGUUGUGCAGUUUGUGAGCGGAGGGCCCGGAAGGGAGCCCUAGCAGGCUGAUGUCAAGCCCUCCCACAGCUAGUCAUUGUGCCACAUGGCCGCCACCAAGUGUGUUCCUUCGUGGAAGCGGGACCUUCAUGAACCUCAUGUGUUUCCCUGGCCUCAUAGUCAAAACACCUGGGGCUCAUCCCCAGCUCCUCCACAGGCUGGUGUGUGACUGGGGUUUAGAGUCCCUCCUUUUGGACCAGGAUGCGUCGUGGUAAAUGCCUUGGCCAACAGAGUACAAAGUAAUACUAUGUGACUUCUGAGACUAGAUCAUGAAAGUGUCCGCCUGCCUCUUUCACUCAAUCUUGAGACAUGUGCCCCGGGGAGCCUUGUGUCAACAGGUAAGUGGGCUGGUUAACCGGCCGCCAUUGUGUUGGAGAGGGCAUGUAGUAGGGAGACCCUCACAGAGACAGAGUGAUACCCGGGAGCCCCAGCUCUUCCAGCUUCCCGCUGUGUGAGUCUUCUCUCACUGGGCACCAGCCAGAGUGAGUGAGGUGAAGGGCCCCACCUCUGAGCCCAGUGCAGCUGAUGCCGAGUAGAGCAGAGACGAACUGUCCCAACCAAGCCCUGCCCCGUUGCAGAUUUGUGAGCAAAAUAAAUGUUUUUCU